GACGAACGCUGGCGGCGUGCUUAACACAUGCGAGUCGAACGGGAUUUAGUAAACAGAAGCCUCGGUGGAAGAUUACUAAUGAGGGUGGCGAACGGGUGAGUAACGCGUGAGCAACCUGCCUAUGACAGUGGGAUAGCCUCGGGAAACCGGGAUUAAUACCGCAUAAAAUCGUAGAAACACAUGUUUUAACGGUCAAAGAUUUAUCGGUCAUAGAUGGGCUCGCGUCUGAUUAGCUAGUUGGUGAGAUAACAGCCCACCAAGGCGACGAUCAGUAGCCGGUCUGAGAGGAUGAACGGCCACAUUGGAACUGAGACACGGUCCAAACUCCUACGGGAGGCAGCAGUGGGGAAUAUUGCACAAUGGGGGAAACCCUGAUGCAGCGACGCCGCGUGAACGAAGAAGGUAUUCGUAUCGUAAAGUUCUGUCCUAUGGGAAGAUAAUGACAGUACCAUAGAAGAAAGCUCCGGCUAAAUACGUG
rnacentral:rRNA from 1 species